rnacentral:lncRNA from 1 species
AGCAGCCCUGAGCAGAAUAUAGAACGGUAAGGCUGCGGGAAAGAACCGGAGGUUUGCUAAUGCAGCUUCUCGCCCCGAGACAUGUCUGGAGAAUCGGGCGGAUCGUGGCUCCAAAUGGUCGAGGCGUGAAGCCACUCUCUCAGACCACAUUCUCGGACUCGUGCCUCGAUUACUCUCAAACGCACUCUCCCACAAUCUGCUCCAUGGCUUGUUGUUGUUUAGUUGUUUAGUCGUGUCCGACUCUUCGUGACCCCUGGACCAGAGCACGCCAGGCCCUCCUGUCUUCCACUGCCUCCCGCAGUUUGGUCAAACUCAUGCUGGUAGCUUCGAGAACACUGUCCCACCAUCUCGUCCUCUGCCGUCCCCUUCUCCUUGUGCCCUCCAUCUUUCCCAACAUCAGGGUCUUUUCCAGGGAGUCUUCUCUUCUCAUGAGGUGGCCAAAGUAUUGGAGCCUCAGCUUCAGGAUCUAUCCUUCCAGUGAGCACUCAGGGCUGAUUUCCUUCAGAAUGGAGAGGUUUGUCCAUGGGACUCUCAAGAGUCUCCUCCAGAACCAUAAUUCAAAAGCAUCAAUUCUUCGGCGACCAGCCUUCUUUAUGGUCCAGCUCUCACUUCCAUCCAUGGCUUAGAUAAAGGUAAAGAAGGGAACGGUAAAGGACCGCUGGACGGUUAAGUCCAGUCCAAGGCGACUAUGGGGUUGCGGCGCUCAUCUCGCUUUCAGGCCCAGGGAGCCAGCGUUUGUCCACAGACAGCUUUCCGGGUCAUGUGGCCAACAGGACUAAACCACUUCUGGUGCAAUGGGACACCGUGACAGAAACCUGAGCACAUGGAAACAUCACUUACCUUCCUGCCACAGCGGUACCUAUUUAUCUACUUGCACUGGUGUGCUUUCGAACUGCUAGAAUGGCAGGAGCUGGGACAGAGCAACAGGAGCUCACCCUGUCUCAGGGAUUUGAACCGCCAACCUUCUGAUUGGCAAGCCCAGGAGGCUCAAUGGUUUGGACCACAGCGCCACCUGUAUCCCCGCCAUGGCUUAAACAUAGACCCAGAUGCAGAUUAUACCGUUUGGGCAACCCAAACGGUCAAGGGGUUGGAGCGACUCCCCGAUAAAGAAAUAUUGCCAAGUUGGGGACUUUUUAGUUUAGAGAAAGGUGAGUGAGAGGAGACAUGAUAGAGGUUUAUAAGGCAUGGGAUGGACAAACGUUUUUCUCCCUCUUUCAUAACCCUAGAACCGUGGGCAUCUGAAUGUUGGGAGAUGUAGGACGGAUAAAAGAAUGAACUUCUCCACGCAGCACCUAAGGAAGACCUAGGAAGCAGCCAUGGCCAAACAGUAUGUGCCUAGUGGUCACAGCAACUCUUCCCAGCAGGUCUUCCCCGAAUGGGGCAGUUGUGAGGACUGAAGGCCCCCAGCGUCCCACCGCUAUGUCUCCUCCUGCCCCAGGUCCUUCCCAGGCAACCUGAGACUUCUCCGCCUUGUCUGCCUUUGCUCUGCUCUCUUCAUGCCUCUGUGGGUUCUGGGAGACCAAAGGGGAAGGGAGCUUGUGGCAACAGGAGGGGGAGACUUCCUGGCUUCUUCAACAGCCUCCCUCACCUCUGCAUCUUGGCCUCUUUCCUCUCCAUCUUCUGCCUCUGAUUCUGGACUGUUCUCUGACACAGUCUCUUUUUAAUCUAUAUGAAGCCGCUGAGAGAGAUCAUCAGGGGGUUUGGGCUGGGUGUUUAUCAGUAUGCAGAUGAUACCCAGCUCUACCUCUCUUUUAAAUCAGAACCAGUGAAGGCGGUGAAGGUCCUGUGUGAGUGCCUGGAGGAGGUUGGAGGAUGGAUGGUGGCUAACAGAUUGAGGUUGAAUCCUGACAAGACUGAAGUACUGUUUUUGGGGGACGGGGCGGGCAGGUGUGGAGGACUCCCAUGUCCUGAAUGGGUUAACUGUGCCCCUGAAGGACCAGGUGCGCAGCCUAGGAGUCAUUUUGGACUCACUGCUGUCCAGGAGGCACAGGUCAAUUCUGUGUCCAGGGCAGCUGUCUACCAGCUCCAUCUGGUACGCAGGAUGAGACCCUACCUUCCUGAGGACUGUCUUGCCAGAGUGGUGCAUGCUAUAGUUAUCUCCCGCUUGGACUACUGCAAUGCGCUCUACGUGGGGCUACCUUUGAAGGUGACCCGGAAACUGCAAUUAAUCCAGAAUGCGGCAGCUAGACUGGUGACUGGGAGCGGCUGCUGGGACCACAUAACACCGGUCCUGAGAGAUCUGCAUUGGCUCCCAGUAUGUUUCUGAGCACAAUUCAAAGUGUUGGUGCUGACCUUGAAAGACCUAAACGGCCUUGGUCCUGUUAUACCUGAAGGAGCAUCUCCACCCCCAUCGUUCUGCCCAGACACUGAGGUCCAGCGCCAGGGGCCUUCUGGCGGUUCCCUCAUUGUGAGAAGUGAGGUUACAGGGAACCAGGCAGAGGGCCUUCUCAGUGGUGGCGCCCACCCUGUAGAACGCCCUCCCUUCAGAUAUGAAGGAAAUAAGCAGCUAUCUUCUCUUUAAAAGACAUCUGAAGGGAGCCCUGUUUAGGGAAGCUUUUAAUAUUUAAUGCUGUAUUGUUUUUAACACUUGAUUGGAAGCCGCCCAGAGUGAGUGGCUGGGGAAACUCAGCCAGAUGGGCUGGGUAUAAAUAAUGAAUUAUUAUUAUUAUUCCUUCUCACCAAACCCUGUUUCCUUUUCAGCUUCCCACACCUCUUCUCCCUCUGACCACAACCACUGCCUGGGUUCUGAGUCUUCUUCCCUUGAGGGUUCCCCAGCUGGUUCUACCCACCACUACUUUGCACCCAGCCUGCCUGUUGAUUCAAUUCCUGCUCUUGUUCCUGAUGAAUGACCUUCACUCACCUCGUACCUACGGGACCGCCUCUCCCGGUAUGUCCCACGGAGGACCUUACGGUCUUCAAACCAAAACAUCUUGGAGAUCCCGGG